GCCGGAGUGGCGGAAUUGGCAGACGCGGUGGAUUCAAAAUCCACUGGUGGCAACACCUUGUGGGUUCGAGUCCCACCUCCGGUA
rnacentral:tRNA from 1 species